rnacentral:rRNA from 1 species
GUGUCAGCAGCCGCGGUAAUACGUAGGAGGCGAGCGUUAUCCGGAUUUACUGGGCGUAAAGCGCGUGUAGGCGGCUUUUUAAGUUGGCAGUGAAAGGUUCCGGCUCAACUGGGAUUCGCCUGUCAAUACUGAAGAGCUUGAGGGCACCAGAGGAAAGUGGAACUCGCGGUGUAGCGGUGAAAUGUGUAGAUAUCGCGAGGAACACCAGUGGCGAAGGCGGCUUUCUGGGGUGUUCCUGACGCUGAGGCGCGAAAGCGUGGGGAGCGAAGCGGAUUAGAUACCCUGGUAGUCC